AGUACUUUGAAAAGAGAGUCAAAAAGACCGCGAAACCGUUAGGAGGGAAACGAAUGCAGCCAAAGUGGCUCUCAUUCAGGCUCAGGAGUUGUUGGUGCGCAGUGCCAGGCUGUUGGACGCCGAAGGGUGCGGCAGUCAGGAUACAGCAUGCCGAGCACUCUGCAUUCCUGAUGAGAGUCGGCCAACAGCAGUUACCCCUGACUCGAAAGGACUGUCGGGAAGGUAGCUUCUUGGUUUACCAGGAAGAACUUAUAGCCAUCGGCCUGGCAGUUGGGGGUGACUGAGGAGUGCUGUGACUUUUCACACCAGCAGUGCAGGCUCCCUAGGGGCCGGGUCGCUUCUGUCCGUGUGGACAAUGCUUCCGGGACUGCAUGCAGUGUCGAAAGACAUGUGUGUGCUCGGGCGGGAGGUUGGCCACGCCUUGCACUGAAGUUGUUGGUACCUGCAUGGUUUCAUUCGACCCGUCUUGAAACACGGGCCAAGGAGUGCAACAUGCGUGCGAGUCUUGGGGUGGAAAACCUGUUGGCGCAAUGAAAGUGAAGGUAGGCUUGGUCUACCGAGGCAAGAGCCACCUUGGGGUGGCACAUUGUCGACCGAUCCCAGGCUACGCUGUAGUGGGAUUUGAGUGAGAGCGUGCCUGUUGCGACCCGAAAGAUGGUGAACUAUGCCUGAAUAGGGCGAAGCCAGAGGAAACUCUGGUGAAAGCUCGUAGCGAUUCUGACGUGCAAAUCGAUCGUCAAAUUUGGGUAUAGGGGCGAAAGACUAAUCGAACCAUCUAGUAGCUGGUUCCCUCCGAAGUUUCCCUCAGGAUAGCUGGAGCCCGGUGCAGUUUUAUCAGGUAAAGCGAAUGAUUAGAGGUCUUGGGGUUGAAACAACCUCAACCUAUUCUCAAACUUUAAAUGGGUAAGAAGCUCGGCUUGCUUAGUUGAAGUCGGGCCCGGAAUGCCGGGGCUUCUAGUGGGCCAUUUUUGGUAAGCAGAACUGGCGAUGCGGGAUGAACCGAAAGCUGGGUUAAGGUGCCCGAGUCGACGCUCAUCAGAUACCAUGAAAGGUGUUGGUUGAUCUAGACAGCAGGACGGUGGCCAUGGAAGUCGGAAUCCGCUAAGGAGUGUGUAACAACUCACCUGCCGAAUCAACUAGCCCUGAAAAUGGAUGGCGCUGAAGCGUCGCACCCAUACCCGGCCGUCGGGCUGAGGGGCAUGGCCCGACGAGUAGGAGGGCGCGGUGGUGGCUGUGCAGCCUUGGGCGCGAGCCUGGGUGAAGCCGCCACUGGUGCAGAUCUUGGUGGUAGUAGCAAAUAUUCAAACGAGAGCUUUGAAGACUGAAGUGGGGAAGGGUUCCAUGUGAACAGCAGUUGGACAUGGGUUAGUCGAUCCUAAGAGAAGGGAGAGGUCCUUGUGGAGGGCACAAUCGCCUCGGCGACCGUGCCGUCCCUCGAAAGGGAAUCGGGUUAACAUUCCCGAACCGGGAUGCGGAUAGGCCCUAGGCCAUUAGCGGCAACGCAAGCGAACUCGGAGACGUCGGCGAGAGCCCCGGGAAGAGUUCUCUUUUCUUCUUAACGGACUGGCACCCUGGAAUCAGAUUGGCUGGAGAUAGGGUUUAAUGUCCGGUAAAGCGCCACACUUGUGGUGGCGUCCGGUGCGCUCUCGACGGCCCUUGAAAAUCCGAGGGAGUGUUUGAUUCUCGCGCC
rnacentral:rRNA from 1 species